rnacentral:rRNA from 1 species
UACGUAGGGUGCGAGCGUUAAUCGGAAUUACUGGGCGUAAAGCGUGCGUAGGCGGCUUUGCAAGACAGAUGCGAAAUCCCCGGGCUCAACCUGGGAACUGCAUUUGUGACUGCAAGGCUAGAGUACGGUAGAGGGGGAUGGAAUUCCGCGUGUAGCAGUGAAAUGCGUAGAUAUGCGGAGGAACACCGAUGGCGAAGGCAAUCCCCUGGACCUGUACUGACGCUCAUGCACGAAAGCGUGGGGAGCAAACAGG